CACGUAGGGCGCGAGCGUUGUCCGGAAUUAUUGGGCGUAAAGAGCGUGUAGGCGGCUUUACAGGUCCGCUGUGAAAACUCGAGGCUCAACCUCGAGGCGCCGAUGGAAGCCGUCUGGCUAGAGUCCGGAAGAGGAGAGUGGAAUUCCUGGUGUAGCGGUGAAAUGCGCAGAUAUCAGGAAGAACACCCGUGGCUAAGGCGGCUCUCUAGUACGGUACUGACGCUGAGACGCGAAAGCGUGGGGAGCGAACAGG
rnacentral:rRNA from 1 species